GGACGACUCUGACAGGCGAGGCGUGCACAAAGUUGACUGAACCGCCGGGCCUGGCCCCACCUUCGCCCCCUGACCGUGGGCCGUUCCACUGCUCGGCCGCCGCCCGCCGCCCGCCGCAGCAACCGCCGAAGGCAGGCUCACGGCGCGCAAGGCGAGAUCCCCGGAGAUGGGGCCGGAGGGCAACCGACCACCACCACCGGGGCGCUCGUGCCCCGCUUCGGGACGGGACCUACUACCGCAGCGUGGUGCGUGGCCCGGCUGCUAGGCCGCCGCCUCCUCGUUGCCGGCGGCCCGCGGGACCGGAGCCGCGCCUCUCCGCCCAGCCCCUACCCGGGGUUUCUGUUUGGAUUCUGCUCAUUCACGAGCUCUCUGGCACAGGAGACCUUCUCAUGCAUGGCGAAACCAUUAAUGCUGGCCAUGGAGAUCCUUGCCUCUUCAGGAUUCAGAACAGCUCGGUGCACAACAGUCUUGAUUUUGCCGUUGCUCAGGACUUCCAUGUGGUCUCCUACGUGGACAUGCAAUGCAUGUGGGAGUGGCUGGACCACUUUCCAGCUGUUGCUGUUGCGGUCAACGACCUCCAGGCCUCGACAACUUGUGAACAAGAUGAUUGGGGGGUUUUCUGGCCAAUAUUGCAUCCAUUCACCCAGGGGAUGGGCAUAAUGCUUUAGUUUGAAGAAAUCUGAAGCUGCUUCAACAGCUCCAUCCAUGACAGAUUGACUGAUCCCAUGGUUUAUAAUCUGCAAAAUGGAGAUAGGCAAGUAAGCUUUCUUUGUUCCCUUGCACCUGCUUGUUAGUAGAGUGCCCAAGAAGGGUUCAUGAAAGGCCGUACCUUAACUCUAGUGUAGCUACACAGCCUUAAGUUCUCUAAUGUUUUACAAUUUUAGUAGUGGUCCUUGAGAACCUUGACAUUGCUUAUAUUUUAGAGUUGAAGCUGGAAACAUUUUAUAUGCACAGAAGCCAUCUGCUGUAUAAAUGAUAUGUUAUUUCUCAUACGGAGAGGUCACCCUGUCAGAGAAUACGCCUUAGUAAUACCGUUUGCUGCCUUGCUAUGUCCACAUGUACCCAUCGGACAAUGAUGCAGUUGUUAAAACCGGCCAUUUAGGCCGAUCCCGGCUCCCUGUUGCUCUAAAACCAGACAUUUAUAUCGAGUAGGCUUAGGCCCUUUUACAGAUUUACAACUACAAAAAAUGAAGGAAACUGAGAUGCUUGAACAUACACGUUGUGUAGAUACUUCAGAAUAUCUGUUCUAAAUUUUAUGUAGACUAAAUUACAGAUCAAACUUCACAAGUACACUCAAUACUGAAAUGUUACAUCAUAAGAAAAUGAUUACGAAUGUAGCAGGAAAAAAGAAUUAUCUACAACCGACAAGUGCUAAAAUGACUUUCAUUGUAGUACUGGUGUCAUUGUGGUGAUGACUGAAGGAUGAAAUGGGGACUGAACUUCUCAGCUUCAUGUUAUUUGUCAGUUUCCAUUUAACCAGGCGACAAAAUGUAGCUGGUCCUCAACGUAUCGUACAGUUUUCGCCUAUCCCUGCUGCCUCAUACAGUCGCAUGAUGUGUUCUAGUAUACUUUGUAUCAAUGUUUACACAGUUCAUGCUCUUCAUUUUGGGGGACAAAAGGAGGAUGGAGCUCGUCAAACUAUUUAGCUGAGUGCAGGCAGUUUGCUCCUAAUAUUGUGCAUGUACUACUACUAACAAUGCGGUGCUGUCAUAGCUAGCCGCAGGAUUUUAAAGGUCAUCAUAGCUCCUAAUUUUCCUGUAGUCACUCUUCUGCAGUGGUUUUUCAACCACAAAUCUAGUUUGGUUUCCUAGUUUAUUUGUCUGUACAGUCGUCUUCCUUGGUAACAUUGUGGACACAGGUGGCAAUGUUAUCCGUUGCAGUCUGGAAAAGAUAAAUGCCAAGGCAAAGGCAGAAAAGAAAAAGACAGGAAGGUGUGGCAAUGUUCUCAAGGAGUAUACCUGGAAGUAUCCUAGAUCACGGCAUGCUUUGGUAAUAUCUUCAACCACGCGAGCUCGUGUUGCUGGGUCAAGGUUGAGGUGACCCAUGUUGAUCACCGGCAUUGGCGGCGGGUGGAGGUCGUCAGAAGGGAGCUGCUCCUGAGGGACAGUCCUUGAGUCAUCAGACAUGUUGACUUAGUACUGUACAAGGAGCAGAGUCCAAUCUCAGUAUCUUUACGCAGAAUCGAAAUGGGAUGAAGUGUUCCUCCAUGGUGCAGCAUCUACUUAUAGGCAGCUUCAUUCCAGUGUCUGCUCAUUCCAAAUAAGAGGUCAAGCCAUUCAUGUCCAUGCAUGCAUGCACUUGGCAAUAUAUAUAAAUAUCGGUCCAGGGGAAGCUCCUACGCAGGGCCUACGUCGGAAACAGGAAGAGCCCGACAAUAUGUGAAUAUUCUUACAUGUCGCCCGUGUGCCGCCGCAUAGCAGAUUGGGAGUAUCUUAAUACCGCGCUCCGGGCCACUCAUUCGCUCUUUCGUCACAUAUGCUCCAUUGUCCUGGUAUGCAACUGGUUGUUGUUUAGGACACAAUUAUGAAGUUAUCUCUUGGACUAUAUAUACUUCUUCGUCCUGGUAUGCCACUGGUUUUUGUUUAGGACGCAAUUAUGAAGUUAUCCCUGGGACA